rnacentral:rRNA from 1 species
AUGCUACUGGCGCGCGCCCCGCCGUCGGCGUUCAACUCCCCGGCGCUCUCGGUGCGCGCCUUCCGCCGUCGCCGCCUCGCUGCUCCCGGUGCCGCCGCGACGGCCGCGUCCAACCCGCCUUCUCUCCGGGUCGGGCAAAGGCGCAAGCAGGUGGCGAGCGUGGCGAACCCCCUGGUGAAGCACUGCGUGAAGCUCCGGGACUCGGCCGCCUACCGACGGUCCUGCCGCCGGCUCGUCCUCGUCGGCCUCGCCCCCAUCCUGGAGAUCUGCAGGCUUGGGUUCGCCGCAAUCGAUUGCUUGCUUCUCCUGGACGGCGCAGAGGUCCCGGGUGAACUGCAUGAGCUCUCUGGUGGCAAUGUUGUGUAUGUCAGCGCCACUGUGAUGAAGAAGAUCUCCGGGAUGCAGUCGGUUGAUUCAACCGAGGCGAUUGCUGUCAUGCACAUGCCUAAGCAUUUCUGUGACCUCGGUGAUGAUGAGGGUGGAGCUGGUCUUGACGCGUCGUUCCUGUCUCCAAAGAGGAUUCUAGUCCUUGAUGGGAUUCAGGAUCCGGGUAACCUUGGAACGUUGAUAAGGUCAGCUUGCGCGUUCAAAUGGGAUGGGGUAUUUCUUCUUCCGGCUUGCUGUGAUCCUUUCAAUGAAAAGGUUCUUCGUGCAGCUCGUGGAGCCUCUUUGCAGCUUCCAAUUAUCUCUGGCAACUGGUGUGAUCUGCAUGAUUUGGUAACUAGAUAUGGCAUGAAGAUGUUGGCAGGCCAUCCAGAAAGUAGCAGUGAUGGAUCUGAAAAAACCCAUGUGCUGUCCAAAGAGCUUGCAGACUCACUGAUGAGUGAGUCACUAUGCUUAGUGUUAGGAAGUGAGGGCAAUGGCCUCUCUGAAGAGACCGUCCAAGCUUGUGAUCUUGUAAGCAUUCCUAUGGAAGGUAUUUUUGAAUCUCUGAAUGUUUCUGUUGCUGGGGGUAUCUUUUUAUUCAUGUUACAACCCAAACAGCAAACAUAUAGCAGAAUUUCAACUCCGUAA